UGGACUACCAGGGUUUCUAAUCCUGUUCGCUACCCACGCUUUCGUCCAUCAGCGUCAAUAUAUUAGUAGUAACCUGCCUUCGCAAUUGGUAUUCCAUGUAAUCUCUAAGCAUUUCACCGCUACACUACAUAUUCUAGUUACUUCCUAAUAAUUCAAGUCUAGCAGUACCAAUGGCCGUUCCACCGUUGAGCGAUGGGCUUUCACCACUGACUUACUAAACCGCCUACGGACCCUUUAAACCCAAUGAUUCCGGAUAACGCUUGCACCCUCCGUAUUACCGCGGCGGCUGGCACC
rnacentral:misc_RNA from 1 species